rnacentral:rRNA from 1 species
UACGGGGGGGGCAAGCGUUGUUCGGAAUUACUGGGCGUAAAGGGCUCGUAGGCGGCCAACUAAGUCAGACGUGAAAUCCCCAGGCUUAACCUGGGAACUGCAUCCGAUACUGGAUGGCUUGAAUUCGGGAGAGGGAUGCAGAAUUCCAGGUGUAGCGGUGAAAUGCGUAGAUAUCUGGAGGAACACCGGUGGCGAAGGCGGCGUUCUGGACUGCAACUGACACUGAGGAACGAAAGCCAGGGGAGCAAACGGG